UGAGAAGCUUCGACUAAGGUUCGAUUCGAGCGCAGCGAGAAAGCGUUGCCGCAGGCAACGACCCGAAGGGCGAAGCGCGCAGCGCUGAGUCAUCCUUCCCCCACCACCA
rnacentral:sRNA from 1 species